rnacentral:rRNA from 1 species
UACAGAGGUCCCAAGCGUUGUUCGGAUUCACUGGGCGUAAAGGGUGCGUAGGUGGUUAGGUAAGUCCGAUGUGAAAUCUCCAGGCUCAACCUGGAAAUGGCAUUGGAUACUAUUUAGCUUGAGGAGUGGAGGGGGGACUGGAAUUCUCGGUGUAGCAGUGAAAUGCGCAGAUAUCGGGAGGAACACCGGUGGCGAAGGCGGUUCUCUGGGCCUGUACUGACGCUGAGGAGCGAAAGCGUGGGGAGCGAACAGG